rnacentral:rRNA from 1 species
CGGACGGGUGAGUAACACGUGGGUACCUGCUGUAACUGGAUAACUCCGGGAAACCGGGGCUAAUACCGGAUGCUUGAUGAACCGCAUGGUCAAAUCAUAAAAGGUGGCUUAAGCUACCACUUACAGAUGGACCCGCGGCGCAUAGCUAGUUGGUGAGGUAACGGCUCACCAAGGCGACGAUGGCGUAGCCGACCUGAGAGGGUGAUUCGGCCACACUGGGACUGAGACACGGCCCAGACUCCUACGGGAGGCAGCAGUAGGGAAUCUUCCGCAAUGGACGAAAGUCUGACGGAGCAACGCCGCGUGAGUGAUGAAGGUUUUCGGAUCGUAAAACACUGUUGUUAGGGAAGAACAAGUACCGUUCGAAUAGGGCGGCACGUUGACGGUACCUAACCAGAAAGCCACGGCUAACUACGUGCCAGCAGCCGCGGUAAUACGUAGGUGGCAAGCGUUGUCCGGAAUUAUUGGGCGUAAAGCGCGCGCAGGCGGUUUCUUAAGUCUGAUGUGAAAGCCCCCGGCUCAACCGGGGAGGGUCAUUGGAAACUGGGGAACUUGAGUGCAGAAGAGGAGAGUGGAUUCCACGUGUAGCGGUGAAAUGCGU